rfam:Oryza glumipatula chromosome 5, whole genome shotgun sequence.
AAUAAGUGCAAUUUUAAUAGUGUUCAUGCUCAACGUUUAAUCGUUCGUCUUAUUUAAAAACAAUUAUAAUUAGUAUUUUUAUUGUUAUUGGAUGAUAAUAUAUUAAUAGUACUUUAUGUGUGACUAAUAUUUUUAAUUUUUUCAUAAAAUUUUCAAAUAAGACUGACGGUCAAAACGCCGGACACGGAUAUUUAUAGUUGCACUUAUU